AUGGCCAUGGUGCUGGACGCCUUCGCGUCCUACAUCGCCGACACGAUCAAGCAGAUGGCGGCGGACGAGGUGGGGAUGCUGCUCGGCGUCACCGGGGAGAUCGACAGCCUGCAGGACAAGCUGGAGAGCCUCAGGGACUACCUCGCCGACGCCGAGAGGAAGCGCAUCAUUGACCGGACGGUGCAGGGGUGGGUCACAAAGCUCAAGGGCGUCAUGUACGAGGCGACCAACAUCCUUGACCUCUGCGAGCUCAAGGCCAUGGGUCGGCGGGAUGAAGCACCCUCACCCUGCUGCAACCCGCUGCUCUUCUGCUUGCAGCAUCCCAUGUUCGCCAAUGAUAUUGGCAGCCGCAUCAGGAAGCUCAACAAGAGGCUGGACGACGUCUGCAAGCUCGGUGCUACCUUCAGCUUCAUCAAGCUGGAGACCUACCAGGACUGCAGGCCCGGACGACCUUCUGCGGCUGACCGGAAGACAGAUCCAGUGUUGGAGCGCUCGGCCGUGGUAGGGGAGAAGAUCGAAGAGGAUACACGAGCGCUGGUGAAGGAGCUGACAAAGGAUAAUGAUGGCAUCGUGGUGCUUGCCAUCGUGGGUGUUGGUGGGAUUGGGAAGACCACCCUUGCCAAGAAGGUCUUCAACCACGAGGAAAUUCAACACAAAUUUGAAAAGAAGAUGUGGCUGAGCGUCACACAAGACUUCAGCGAGGUUGAGCUGCUAAGGUUGGCCAUCACCAUCGCCGAUGGAAAACUCCCUGCAACUGAAGACAAAUCUAUGCUUGUGCCGGCCCUUCUCAAUGCUGUCAGAAAUCAAAAGUUUCUUCUGAAACCAACCACGGCCAUGGUGUUGGACGCCUUCGCGUCCUACAUCGCCGACACGAUCAAGAAGAUGGCGGAGGACGAGGUGGGGAUGCUGCUCGGCGUCACCGGGGAGAUCGAGAGCCUGCAGAACAAGCUGGAGAGCCUCAGGGACUACCUCGCCGACGCCGACAGGAAGCGCAUCACUGACCGAAGGGUGCAGGGGUGGGUCACGAAGCUCAAGGGUGUCAUGUACGAGGCGACCAAAAUCCUCGACCUCUGCGAGCUCAAGGCCAUGGGUCGGCGGGACGCAGCACCCUCACCCUGCUGCAACCCGCUGCUCUUCUACUUGCGGCAUCCCAUGUUCGCUCACCACAUUGGUAGCUGCAUCAGGAAGCUCAACAAGAGGCUGGACGACAUCUGCAAGCUCGGUGCUGCCUUCAGCUUCAUCAAGCUGGAGACCUACCAGGACUACUGGCCCGGAUGGCCUUCUGCGGCUGACCGGAAGACGGAUCCGGUGUUGGAGCGCUCGGCCGUGGUAGAGGAGAAGCUUGAAGAGGAUACGAGAGCGUUGGUGAAGGAGCUGACAAAGGAUAAUGAUGGCAUCGUGGUGCUCGCCAUCAUGGGUGUUGGUGGGAUCGGGAAGACCACCCUUGCCAAGAAGGUCAUCAACGAUAUGGAAAUUCAACACAAAUUUGAAAAGAAGAUGUGGCUGAGCGUCACACAAGACUUCAGCGAGGUUGAGCUGCUAAGGUUGGCCAUCACCACCGCCGAUGGAAAACUCCCUGCAACUGAAGACAACACUAUGCUUGUGCCGGCCCUUCUCAACGCUCUACGGUGCCCCUGGUAG
rnacentral:rRNA from 1 species